AAAGAGAAACAUGACCUUUUGUAUAAAUGCAGUGGAGGAUCAAGUAAUUUUCCAUUCAAUAAAAAGCCCUUUGUUUCCAGCUCUUAUAGGACAUUUCAGCUCAAUACACCAACCAGAAUUUUAUGUUGAAGGCACUUCUGCUGCGAAGAUUCAGAAGUGACAGAGCCGUGAGACAAAUACUAAUAAUACAGCAACUUCCCAUGGUGGUCGACCUUGGCAGCAGGAAAACUGACAGAACUGAACUGUGGUCUCCUACUCAAGCAGCCUGAGCACAGUGCUGCACAUUCCCCCGUCCGUGCAGUUUCUCUUGUGCUGCUGCAGAACAGGACUGCACUUCUUGCAGCACUCUUCUCUGUUAACCAAAAGAAAUCGCCCAAAAGACGUUUCAUAGCUAGUUUUGGUAACACUCCAAGGAUGUGCUGCUCUUUCAAGCUGAUGUGCAGGUAGGUGGAUUUUCCAGUUUUCUUUACAUUUAUGUUCUGCAAACAGCUACAUUUAAUGAUUCUCUUGAAUCAUUACCCAAAUUUCUCUGCCUUCUAAAAUUGAAGACCAAGUUUAAAAAAAUUAUCAUUAAUAUUUAAUUUUUUUUAAGCCUUUACUAAUUUUUCUUGUUUUUUCUAUAAUACUCAUCUUCCCUAGAAAAUGUCACAGUCUAUCUGCUUAGUAGAUUCUGGGCAAAAAUCCAACACACUAAAAUCUUCUGCUACAACCAGCAUUCCUACUUCUAAUGAAAGGUAAAGCAGUUUUCUGUAUCCUUUUGUGUGCUUUUGCCACCCAGGAAACCAAAUUAUUCUCCCAGA